ensembl:lncRNA
GCGGAAAUGAGAAACACACAAACACCUUCACAACAUCUUACACAUCUUUGUGUGUGUGUAUGUGUGUCUGUGUGUGUGUUUGUGUGUAUGAGAGAGAGAGAAGUGUGUGUGUGUAUGUGUGUACUAUAUAGCCUACACUAGAGUAGAAGGGAGACAGGGUAAAUAAAAAAAAGACAAAACACAAAAGCUUUUUCAGGGACUUGUGUGUGAUGUCACAGCAUGUGCAAUGUGAGUUCAUGAGGAUUCCACUACUUCAUCAAAGACAGAUUCUCUGAUGUUCUCCAGUCAAGAAUCAGGAGAGAAAUUCUUCAUAUCUAAUGUGUGUUUGCUUUUGUAAGCGUCUCCUUAUUUGUUGUGUUGUUGUGAAAUGAUUUCUUUAAAUCUGGGAGUAUUCUGGUGCUGGACACCCUCUUGGCCAAUGGGGAGUCACUGCAUCUGCACCUCCUCUGGUGUCCUCCUCCUCCUGCGGCUCAUAGAGGUCGGAGUGAGCUCCACUUCCUGGUCCUUACGCUCAUCUGAGGGAGAGAAGAAACACCAGUGUCUAUCUGUGCACACCUGAACACAUACAGCACAUAGGCAUGAGAGGAGUAACACCAGGGGGCAAACACUCUAAAAGCUUAAACUACUGACUACUCUAGGGGGCAAACACUCUAAAAGCUUAAACUACUGACUACUCUAGGGGGCAAACACUCCAACAGCUCACAACAGUAACUCAAAGCACAGGUAUAGUCUAAACUUUUACUACAGUACAGUAUAAUCUACUGUAGGACACCCUGACUUCAUAAUUGUAACCAACAGCACACUUGAGUCUACAGGAUGACACCAACAUGAUCUUAUGUUUCAGGUCUCUCUGCUAACCUAGUGUGAUCUCUUGUUUCUAGUGUAGGGAUAACAGAAGAUGAAGGUGAGUGAUGUGUGUACUCUGACCUGGAGUGUGUGUUCUCUUGUUUCUUAUGUAGAGGUAAUACCCUACCACCAGCAGUGAUGUGAGUAUGAUGAUCUCUGCCAGCCACACACUGAUGAAUAUUGGAGAAAAGUACACAGAUGUCGGGG